GAGUUUGAUCCUGGCUCAGGAUGAACGCUAGCGGCAGGCCUAACACAUGCAAGUCGAGGGGUAGAAUUAGCUUGCUAAUUUGAGACCGGCGCACGGGUGCGUAACGCGUAUGCAAUCUGCCUUGUACUGAGGGAUAGCCCAGAGAAAUUUGGAUUAAUACCUCAUAGUAUUAUGAUGUGGCAUCACAUUAUAAUUAAAGUUCCAACGGUACAAGAUGAGCAUGCGUCCCAUUAGUUAGUUGGUAAGGUAACGGCUUACCAAGACGAUGAUGGGUAGGGGUCCUGAGAGGGAGAUCCCCCACACUGGUACUGAGACACGGACCAGACUCCUACGGGAGGCAGCAGUGAGGAAUAUUGGUCAAUGGGCGCAAGCCUGAACCAGCCAUGCCGCGUGCAGGAUGACGGUCCUAUGGAUUGUAAACUGCUUUUAUACGGGAAGAAACACUGCUACGUGUAGCAGCUUGACGGUACCGUAAGAAUAAGGAUCGGCUAACUCCGUGCCAGCAGCCGCGGUAAUACGGAGGAUCCAAGCGUUAUCCGGAAUCAUUGGGUUUAAAGGGUCCGUAGGCGGCUUUAUAAGUCAGUGGUGAAAGCCCAUCGCUUAACGAUGGAACGGCCAUUGAUACUGUAGAGCUUGAAUUACUUGGAAGUAACUAGAAUAUGUAGUGUAGCGGUGAAAUGCUUAGAUAUUACAUGGAAUACCAAUUGCGAAGGCAGGUUACUACAAGUGGAUUGACGCUGAUGGACGAAAGCGUGGGGAGCGAACAGGAUUAGAUACCCUGGUAGUCCACGCCGUAAACG
rnacentral:rRNA from 1 species